GACAGAGGUGCCGAGCGUUAGGCGGAAUCACUGGGCUUAAAGCGUGUGUAGGCGGGCGGGCAAGUACCUUGUGAAAUCCCACGGCUCAACCGUGGAACGGCUGGGUAUACUGCCUGUCUUGAGCCAACUAGGGGCGAGCGGAACAGACGGUGGAGCGGUGAAAUGCGUAGAUAUCGGAAGGAACACCAGUGGCGAAAGCGGCUUCCUGGUCCGACACCGACGUUCAGGCACGAAAGCGUGGGGAGCAAACAGG
rnacentral:rRNA from 1 species